GGGCAGCCAGCCUGCCAAAAACCAACCCCCGUGGGGGGAGCAAAGGUGGGGCUGCAGAACACCAGCUGCUUUGGGCUGCAGGCCAGGAAAGGCUUGGGCUGCCUUGGCUUAGGAGCCUUUCUUUGGGCCAAUGCAGCAGGGCAGGGAGAAGGCCUGGGUUUUCCUGAGCUGGAGGAGGUGGGGUUUUUCUUUGGCCUGGAGGGGUUGGGCCUUCCUCAGAACCCUGACAGAAUGUUAACAUUUUACCUUUUUGUCUUGUUUCCACUUUUUGUUUGUAAUCUCUUGUCAUGAAUUUGUUGUUUGUUUUCGAGGGAAGAGUAGGAGCUGGUGCCCAGUCCGGAUUGGGAAGGGCUGGGACCAUCCCUGGAGAGGAUCUGACGUCCCCUCUGAGAAGGCUGAGGACAUCCUUUGGGACACGCUCUUCUUCCGGCAGCAGAUCUUGUGAGGACACCUCUGCCUGAUCUUCCACAGAUCUGAGGGAUCUCUGGAUCUUCAACCAGCACCAGGACUUUGCUGGAGAAGAGCACAGAUCCCCAGCCCAGUCUGGGACACAGAACCCUGUGAAAUGGCAGAAGGAUUGUGGUGUGAAUGCAGCACCCUCAGAGCCCUUGGUGUGAUCCCAGAAAGGAAAAUCAAGGGAAAUGGUUAAAGCCUUGUUGUUCAAUGUGGAGCACAGGAGAACUUUGUUCUCAUCGUCUCCCCGAUAAGGAGGAGGACUCAGAUCUUCUGGUUGGCCCCACGGGCAGGUUGAGUGGGGGAACAGAAAAUCAAGAUGCAGAAACCAAUCUUGCAGGGGAACUGGCAUGUGAAGAGGCAGAUUUAGCAUGUCCAGAAGGAAAGGGAGAGAGAAUGUGUCAGAGAGAGAGCAGUGCAGCUGCAGGAAGAACUAGAGCUGAACAAGGAGGGGUGGGAGUGGCCCCCCUGUGUGAUAGAACCCAGACUAAAUGGCAAAAGCCUUCAAAAUGAUGAUUCAAACCCAGGAUCUGGGCUAGAAGGAUCCUAUGUUAGAAGUGUUGUUUGGUAGUAGGGAGAAAGCAAUGGUUGUUAAAACUAGUCAGAGGUUCUUGGAAGAGCAGAUUUUGGUGGGGAAUAUACAGAGUACAUUGGACAUUCCCUUUCCCACUGCAGAUCCUGAAUGGGAUCCUAACAUCCCUAUUUUUAGAGAAAGGUUCAAUAGAUACCUGCAGUGGAUGUUGUCUGCAAUGAAACAUGCCAGGCCAAAGGCAAUGAACACGUCAAAAUUCUCUGCAAUGAAGCAGGAUCACAGGGAAUAGCCUACUGAAUUUUUAAAUCAUCUGGAAGAAACAGCACAAAAAUAUACUAAUAUCCAUCCUGAAACACGGGGGGAAGGACUCAACUGGCCCCCAUAUUUGUGGGGCAGUCCUCAGAUGUGGUUAGGAGGGAAUGACAAAAAGCUGAGGGACAAGAUCAAGAUAAUUUAGGGACAUUGUUGGAGGUUGGGAGAAUCAGUGGGAAUCAGCUAAGCAGGAAGGAGUUGCAGUUCUGGAAGAAAUCCCUGAGGAAAUGGUGCCCCCAGGGAGAGGAAGAGGAUGAGAGCAUGGGCAGCCUGCUUCAAACAUCCCCCCAGGAGACUUGGGAUCAAUCCCUGUGCAUCCUGUAAGAAAGAUGGACACUGGAAAUGGGAUUGUCCACAACUGAAACUUCAGAACCCUCCGAACCCUCUCCUGGCAUCACUGAAGACGACUGAGGGGGCACCAGAGGAUUCUUCCCCAUCAGAACAUCUGGUUCCAGCCAAGCUAAGUACAAUUGGUUGUGGCUGUGGGAACUUGUUCCCCUGUCUUAAAUAAGGGAAAAUGAAACUCAAGUCACAAUUCUGGAACAAUUGUCUGGUGUGCCAGGGAAUUGAGAAACUGGGCCAUUUUUAAUGCUGUGGAUUUGAAAUUGGGAAAACAGUGGUUGGCUCCCCAGUGUUUGUAUUUCCCCAAUUCCCCAAAGCCUCUGCCUGGGAGAGAUCUCUUGGAAAAAUUAAAUGCCACAAUCCAAUUUAAAAAUGGUAAAAUAUAGGUUAUUAUUCCAGAGCCUAAUUCUGUGGAAGAUUCUAGUUUUGCAUGAGAGUCUCCAAAAGCAGAACUAAUCCAUCUGCCAACGUCACCUGGGGAUGCAGUGAUUCCAAUAGGAUGGGCUGGAGAGGUGCCUCCAUGAUCCAAAAGAGCAGAACCCGUGAGAAUUCCAGGGAAACCUGGAGCAGGGUUGGUCAGGCCAAAGCAAUAGCCUUUGAAAAUGGAAAGUUGUGAGGGAUUCUCACUCUCUGUAGAAAAACUGAUGAAAUUUUGCUUGUUAAAAGAAUGUGAAUCUAAAUGUAAUGCUCCAGUUUUGCCAGUCAAGCAGGCAAAUGGAAGGCUAUCCCAGUUAGUCCAAGACCUCAGAGCUAUAAAUGAUAGAGUAGAAGAUAUACAAGCAGUUGUAGCAAAUCCUUACACUUUGCUAACUCCCCUAAAUGAAAGUUUAAUGUUUCACAGUAUUAGAUUUGAAAGCUGCCUUUUUCUGUCUCCCUUUGAGUUGUGAAAGUCAAGAGCUUUUUGCUUUCAAAUGGGAAAAUCCAAAGACAGGGAGGAAAACCCAGCUGACUUUGGUGGUCCUCCUGCAGGUGAUGCCAGCUCAGCUGAUGCUAAGGAAAAACCUCAGGAGCAGUUAAUUGAGUGUGAGAUAAGGAAAGGGUUUGAUUUGUGCCAAGGCACAGAUGUUACAGGGUGCAUGCCCGCUGUGCCUGAGAUGUUACAUUUUAUAAUACUACCUGUCCAGUCCCAAGUGUUUCCACCCCGUAGCCUUUGCUCUGGUCUGCUCCGGGCCCACUCCCUGGGAAUUGAGUCUGGGGUGCAUUUCGGGACCCUCUCUUCAUCACCAUCACCAUCCUCAGAGCACAAAGGGUACACGGUCACCCAGUUCUUGACUCUGUUCUGUUGUUCAGGCCAAGAUAGGAGUGUUCUCUAAACAGCACAGGCCUUGCCUUGACAAGAGACUAAACAUUUCUACUGAAUUCAGGGGUAGGAUUGAUAUGGGGAGCAUGGAAUGAGAUUGGAGCGUUGAGGAAUGUGUAAACUAAAGGGUGCUAAAGGGUGAGGAAUACAAUAUAGCUACUUCUAAAAUCUACUUCUACUAUAAUGACAUAUAAAGCUUAUAAAAAUUAGCAAAGUCAAAAAACCCCUAAAAGGGUCUUAAGGCAUCACAGGGGUUUAAAAAUAUCCCCCCAGUAUUUGGAACUCAAUUGGCAAAGGAACUGGAGGAAUGGAAAAGUCAAAACCCUCUUGGAGCCUUGUUCCAGUGUGUGGAUAUUUUGAUAGCCACUGAUGCUGAGCAGCAAUGUUGGGAUCAGACACUAUGGAAUUUCCUUGGACUGGGUGGAUAUGGGGUGUCCCAAACACAAAGUGCAAGUAGUCCAGACCCCAGGAGCCUCCCUGGGCUUUGGAAUUCUCCAAGGACAAGGGAGGCUGGGCCAGGAAUGAAAGAAGCAACCUGUCAACUGCCCCAGCCCCAGCAAAGGAAGCCCAGAGCAGGAUUGCUUCCAGACUAGAGGAGAAGUGUAUUGGGGCACAGCUGACUCAGGAGACAGCCCCUGGGAAAGUCCUGGUUGGGAAUUGUUUCCCAGUGGGGGCAGCUUUGUCCAGUGUGGAAAACAAUUCUCUGGAUGCACAGGAACUCCCCCAGCAGGUCAUGGAAUUGGGGGCACUCCUCUGCAGUGCCUCAGCCCAGAAAGCAGAACCAACUGUGCUCACUCCAGCUUUGGGAUUGAGUCAAGGAGAACAAGUUAAUCCUUGGACUUGCUUGAAGAUCUCCAGAAACCAACAGAGGCUGCUGUCCUGCAUUGCAGAGUGCACCAAGAGGGGGAGACCAAAGCAGAACUGGGGAAUCAUUUGGCCCAUAAUUCUGCCAAAGAGGCUGCAGAAAAAGGCACUUUAGAGAGUAAAGUUUUGUCUUUAAUAACCCUGACAGAGAUACCUCUCCCAGUAGAAAAAAAUGAGUCUAGUGCUAAGGAUUGUCAGCUCAUUGAAACCUUAGGAGCAAAAUUUGCUCCAGGAGGCUGGGCAGUUACCCCAGGUGGGCAAAUAAUAGUCCCUGAACCAAUCUGGUGUGACCUGGUGGAUGGGGAACAUGAGAGUAUUCCUUGGAGUGAAGUAAAUCAUUGAAACAUUUGCACAAGGGGGUUAUAAGUCCAAAACUGCCCCCAGUUGUACAAGCAGUGAGUCAGCAGUGUGGUGUGUGAGAGAAAUGAUCCAACCCCUGCCAAUGCAGUGGGAACAGGUGAUGUAAAGUGUAGAAAUGUUCCAGGUGAAUGUUGGCAGAUGGAUUUGACUGAAUUGCCCAGAAAAGGGGGGUGUAAAGAUCUCCUAGUCUUGGGGGAUACCUUCUCUGGGUGGCCAGAGGCUUUUCCUUGUUGCACUAAGAAGGUUUGGAAAGAGACUGCAAUCCUGUUCAAUGCAAUCCUCCCUGUAUUUGGGAUGCCUUUGGGAAUGUCAUCAGAGGUUCCCACUUGACUGUAGAAACAAAAUGCUUCACUCUUGUUUUGCUCUUCUGAACACAGUUCAAACACUGUUGACAUGGGAGGAAAAUUUACAUCUCUUUUUAGUGCCAAAUGUGAUCCAAGUGUUGUCUAAAAGUGUCUGUAUUAAGUAAGCAAGACUGUAAUGAAUCUGUAAACUGUGUGUGUAAUGUAAAGCCCUGUCUGGCUGUCCCUGAAGUGCUGAGACUGAACAACAGCCCCUAAGCCAAAGCUGAGCUCUAGAUGAACCUUCCAACCUAAUGGGCUGUGUCUCCAUGUAUCUGCUCAUCAGCUAAAACUGGGUCUAUUUGUUGGUAAAAAUGUGGUGUGAUGGGACUCCACCUGUGUAUCUGCUCCUGACCAAACAGGUGUGCUUAUUAGUCAGAUCUGUUAGUCUGGGCUCAUUAGUGAAUCCUGUUUGUACCUGUUCAUUAACGAAAUAUGUCUGAUUGUGAGCAAAAUGUGAUCUUUAUCUUUCUGUAUCUGGAGAGUGGUCAAGGCCAUGGCAGUCGAUGUCUGGCCUUGUUUGGCAGCAGAUGGGGCAGGGGGAGCCUUGGUUUGGGAGAAGUAGAACAUUGCUCCCAGUAUUCUGCUCUGGCCAAAUAAGGAACAAUAGAAUCUUAGAGAAGUCCUGGAGAAUUGGAUCAGGGCUGGAACUCAAGCAAACAGGAUGUGAGCUGAGCUCUGGGGACCCAGAGAAGAUCAAACCAAACAUGAUGGUCUCUGUGGGGAAAAGCAGUGAUGCUGAGAACCGAGGUCAAGAAGGGGACACCUGACUUUGGGGGGGGCACCAGAUGCCAAAAAACCCACCAGAGACCCCCAAAGAAGACCCCAAAUGACCAAAUAGGUACUUGCAAUAAGGGAUGUGACUGUGUAAAGCAAAGUAAUGGACAUGUGUUAAGUAAGGGAGAAUAUCCAAUGCCUCUGGAAUCAGUGUGUGUAAUCCCAAGCCCUGCCUGUGUCCCUGAGCAGGCUGGAUUAGAAGAACUCUCCUGCAGGCGUCCAUCACGCUGCCCUAAAGAAUGCCUGCUUCUUAACACCCCAAACUGGGGUGAAGGGCUUGGGUUCUGCUGCUUGUGGGGAUCAUUUCUGGCCCCCAGAUGGGACCCUGUGCCUGAUCUCCCGUGGAUCCGAGGGAUCUCUGGAUCUUCACGCCGGCCCCAGGACUUUCCUGGAGAAGAGCACAGAUCCCUGGACUGGUCUGGGAUGUGGGGAAGAUCCCAUUGGAUAAUAAGGCAUUCUUUUGGGGAAUCCUGCUCAUGUAAGAUGUGUGGAUCUUCCAGCACUUUGGGUGGGUUAUUUGGUAUUCCACGAUUUGGUGUCUGGCUUUGUUUUCUCCACUGAUCAUUGUUUUGUGUUUGUAUUUGUCUCUGUACUGUAACAUUUGCACAGGUGGGUUAGGGGUGCAAAACUGACCCAGUUGUACAAGCAGUGAGUCAUCAGUGUGGUGUGUGAGAGAAAUGAUCCAACCCCUGCCAAUGCAGUGGGAAUAGGUGAUGUACAGUGUGGAAAUGUUCCAGGUGAAUGUUGGCAGAUGGAUUUGACUGAAUUGCCCAGAAAAGGGGAGUGUAAAGAUCUCCUAGUCUUGGGGGAUACCUUCUCUGAGUGGCCAGAGGUUUCCCCUUGUGACACCAACUGGGCUGGGGAAGUGAGUGGAAUACUGUUGAAUCCAAGAAUCCCUGAAUUCGAGGUACAUUUGGGAAUGUCAUCAGACAGAGGUUCCCACUUGAUUGUAGAAGUGGUACAAGAAGUCAAAUCAGGGAUGCAUUAUUCCAGAAUUCCAAAGGCCAGAGCCCCUUGGGUAAUUGAGAGGUUGUCUGAGAAGAAACAAAAUGCUUUGGUCUUGUUUUGCUCUCCUGACAAUAGUUAAUUGGGUGUUGACUUGGGAGCAAAAUUUACAUCUCCUUUUAGUCUCAAAUGUGACCCAAGUGUUGCCUCCAAGGGAUUGUUGGGUGUGCACUCCUUUACCUGAAAAGACAAGAAGCCAUUCACCAUUUCUGCCUCCCCUAUUCUGGUAGAAAUGAUUCCUGGUCACUGGGUGAGCACUUGUGUUCCCCAAAAAGUAGACCCAGCAGUUAGUGUGCAAGUACCCCCCCAUCUCUGACAAUCCUGCCUGUGUCCAAAGCUGUGACCCCCUAAAGGGACAGGAGAACUGGAUUGUGUUAAUGAAAGGGGCACGUUUGUGGGAAAUCACACCCAAUGUCCUCAAACCCUUCCUGCUGGGGAAAUGACUGAUCCUUGGCUGGUCCCCAAUGGAACAGGGUGGUGUUGGCUGUGUGGAAAUAACACCUCUGAAGGGUUGCCCCAAAGCUGGAAGGGCAUUUGUAUUUCAGCUUGCAUCAGGACUCAGUGCUGUAGCUGUUCUAAUGCCUCGAGCUGUAAAAUGAAAUAAAGCUCCUAAGGCACUCCAUCCCUUUAGGAGCUUUGUCUGAAGAAAAGGAGGGAUUUGAUGUGGGACAUAGAACACUGCUCCCAACAUUUCUCUAUGGCCAAGGAAGGCAAACCAUAAUCUUGGAGAGGUCCUAGAGAAUUCGAUCAGGGAUGUAACUAAGCAAACAGGAUGGAAGCUGAGCUCUGUGCACCCAGAGAAGAUCAAAACCAAACGUUACAGUCUUUGUGGUGAAAGGUAAUGACACUGUGUCUGCUCAGAACUGAGGUCAAGAAGUGGACACCUCAACUUUGGGGGUCACCACAUGCCAAAAAACCCCCACCAGAGACCCCUGAAGAAGACCCCAAAGGACCAACUAAGGACUUGCAAUAGGGGGUGUGACUGUGAAAAGCAAAGUAAGGGAGAAUAUCUAAGGAAUAUAGAAACUGUGUGUGUGUGAUGUAAAGCCCUGUCUGCUGUCCCUGAAGUGCUGAGGCUGAACAACAGCCCCUGAGCCAAAGCUGAGCUCUAGAUGAACCUUCCAACCUACUGGUCUAUUUAUCCAUGUAUUUGCUCCUUAGCUAAAACUGUGUAUGUUUGUUGGUCAGAGAUGUACUGUGUGAAAAGACUACCCCUGUAUCUGCCCAUGAACAAAAUAAAUGUGCUUAUUAGUGAGAUCUGUGAGUCUCA